rnacentral:rRNA from 1 species
GACGAACGCUGGCGGCGUGCUUAACACAUGCAAGUCGAACGGAAAGGCCCUGCUUUUGUGGGGUGCUCGAGUGGCGAACGGGUGAGUAACACGUGAGUAACCUGCCCUUGACUUUGGGAUAACUUCAGGAAACUGGGGCUAAUACCGGAUAGGAGCUCCUGCUGCAUGGUGGGGGUUGGAAAGUUCCGGCGGUUGGGGAUGGACUCGCGGCUUAUCAGCUUGUUGGUGGGGUAGUGGCUUACCAAGGCUUUGACGGGUAGCCGGCCUGAGAGGGUGACCGGCCACAUUGGGACUGAGAUACGGCCCAGACUCCUACGGGAGGCAGCAGUGGGGAAUAUUGCACAAUGGGCGGAAGCCUGAUGCAGCAACGCCGCGUGCGGGAUGACGGCCUUCGGGUUGUAAACCGCUUUCGCCUGUGACGAAGCGUGAGUGACGGUAAUGGGUAAAGAAGCACCGGCUAGCUACGUG